CAAACACCUUUCUGACAUAACUAAGGCAAUCAGCCCAUUGCGCCAUAACCAGAAGACAAUAUCUAAUGGCAAUUGCCAUGUAUAGUGUGAAGGCCUUUCCUUGUGGAUUCAGAAUGGAGCAUGGACCACAAUUCUCAGAAGCGACUUCUAGAGAGAUGUUGGGUGUAAUGCCAGCCAUUGUUACAAUAGGACAUUGCAUUUUAUACCUGAGAUCACUGACUGGUUGUCAUCAGAUAGAAUCAUGUAGUCCCCUGUUGUACAAACAGAACAUUCUGAUGACUAUUCAUUAAGUGAAAUAUAAUGGAACACUUAAAGUGACCCCAAGAUUAAACCCUUAUUUGGGGUUUGUCUAAUGACUAAUGGUCACUACCACCAGUUUGGAGACAUUACAACAAAACUCUGCUGCUGACAAAAAUAUUAACCAUAAAUGAUGAGAAAUUUUCAGUUGGGACCAAAAGAACAUCUGGAGGCCAUUAAAGCAGGAGAAUUUUCCCUCUAUGUCCUGAUUGCCAAACUUAGAACCAACCACCCAGAAACUGUGGCCCUCAUGCUAACUCAAUGUUUAUAUUUCAUUAAAAACGAUUUCAAGGG